rnacentral:rRNA from 1 species
UACGUAGGAGACGAGCGUUGUCCGGAAUUACUGGGCGUAAAGCGCGUGUAGGCGGAUGAGCAAGUCUGCUGUGAAAGCUCCUGGCUUAACCGGGAGUGGUCGGUGGAAACUGCUCGUCUGGAGGACGGUAGAGGUAGGUAGAAUUCCCGGUGUAGUGGUGAAAUGCGUGGAGAUCGGGAGGAAUACCUGUGGCGAAGGCGGCCUACUGGGCCGGACCUGACGCUGAGACGCGAAGGCGUGGGGAGCGAACGGG